GGCUGAUUGGUCAAGCGGUUAAGACGCCGCCCUCUCACGGAGGAAUCAGGGGUUCGAUUCCCCUAUCAGCUG
rnacentral:tRNA from 1 species